GACGAACGCUGGCGGCGUGCUUAACACAUGCAAGUCGAACGGAAAGGCCCUGCUUUUGUGGGGUGCUCGAGUGGCGAACGGGUGAGUAACACGUGAGUAACCUGCCCUUGACUUUGGGAUAACUUCAGGAAACUGGGGCUAAUACCGGAUAGGAGCUUCUGCUGCAUGGUGGGGGUUGGAAAGUUUCGGCGGUUGGGGAUGGACUCGCGGCUUAUCAGCUUGUUGGUGGGGUAGUGGCUUACCAAGGCUUUGACGGGUAGCCGGCCUGAGAGGGUGUCCGGCCACAUUGGGACUGAGAUACGGCCCAGACUCCUACGGGAGGCAGCAGUGGGGAAUAUUGCACAAUGGGCGGAAGCCUGAUGCAGCAACUCCGCGUGCGGGAUGACGGCCUUCGGGUUGUAAACCGCUUUCGCCUGUGACGAAGCGUGAGUGACGGUAAUGGGUAAAGAAGCACCGGCUAACUACGUG
rnacentral:rRNA from 1 species